rnacentral:rRNA from 1 species
AGCGAACGCUGGCGGCAGGCCUAUCACAUGCAAGUCGAACGAACCUUUCGGGGUUAGUGGCGGACGGGUGAGUAACACGUGGGAACGUGCCUUUAGGUUCGGAAUAACUCAGGGAAACUUGUGCUAAUACCGAAUGUGCCCUUCGGGGGAAAGAUUAAUCGCCUUUAGAGCGGCCGCGUCUGAUUAGCUAGUUGGUUGAGGUAAUGGCUCACCAAGGCGACGAUCAGUAGCUGGUCUGAGAGGAUGAUCAGCCACAUUGGGACUGAGACACGGCCCAAACUCCUACGGGAGGCAGCAGUGGGGAAUCUUGCGCAAUGGGCGAAAGCCUGACGCAGCCAUGCCGCGUGAAUGAUGAAGGUCUUAGGAUUGUAAAAUUCUUUCACCGGGGACGAUAAUGACGGUACCCGGAGAAGAAGCCCCGGCUAACUUCGUG